UACGUAGGGGGCAAGCGUUGUCCGGAUUUAUUGGGCGUAAAGAGCGUGUAGGCGGCCAUACAGGUCCGUUGUGAAAACUCGAGGCUCAACCUCGAGACGUCGAUGGAAACCGUAUGGCUAGAGUCCGGAAGAGGAGAGUGGAAUUCCUGGUGUAGCGGUGAAAUGCGCAGAUAUCAGGAAGAACACCCGUGGCGAAGGCGGCUCUCUGGGACGGUACUGACGCUGAGGCGCGAAAGCCAGGGGAGCGAACGGG
rnacentral:rRNA from 1 species